AAUAAAUUCAAAAUUCAAUACAUUACAUACCAUACAAAAUGCAAACAUUAAAUAAAAAUUUAAAAAUCUUCUUCUAUCAAAAUACUGUUAUAUAUAAAAUAGUUUAUUUUGGCAAGAUUGCUUUGAGUAGUUUAGUGGUGGCCUACAUACUAUCGGACAUAUUAUGUGACACGUUGUGGCCCGAUGGUCAGGCCCUUUUCGAUGCUGGGCCCAUGACAAAAGUCUCCGAUAUCAUCCUCUUAGCAGCCCUGGGCAGGACUAUUCUAAAGGACAUAAACAGAUGCUAAGAACUGUGGCAGAGUAAUCUGUAUAGAUAAAAAAUCAAAUUAACAAAACGGUCAUAGUUAUGUUUUUUAUUUU
rnacentral:lncRNA from 1 species